CGUAUAAAAGCAUGGUUUUGGGGUCUUUUGAGAUUGAGCACAAUUCAUGUAUAGUGGUGUAUUUUUUGUACAUGGAUGUUUAUAUUUAGUGGCCAAAUUACGAGAACCGUACGUUUGACGCAUUGCAUUGAAAUAAAGACUUAUCUGUA